CCAGAGCAGCCUACGUGAUUCUAGAUUGCUCUAUAGUUGCCUAGAGCCUGGGCUGCUUUGUCCUUCUACAGAACAGCCACCAGGAGCCCUUCUGGGCAAGCCCUCAUGCCUUACUUGCUCUCAGAGAUUUUCAGACUUCUCCAGGUGCCAAGGAGUUCUCUCAACUUCCAAAAGAAUCAUCCUUCAUAUUGCUCGUGGCUAUGACUAUGUUGUUCGUUUUACACUUGAAGAAAUUGACGUUGAGAGAGAAAAAAGAACUUUACCAAGGCCAAACAGCCAGAAAGGAAGAGAGCUCAGGAUCAGAAUUCAAGCAUGUU